rnacentral:rRNA from 1 species
UACGAAGGGGGCUAGCGUUGCUCGGAAUCACUGGGCGUAAAGCGCACGUAGGCGGAUUGUUAAGUCAGGGGUGAAAUCCUGGAGCUCAACUCCAGAACUGCCUUUGAUACUGGCGAUCUUGAGUCCGGGAGAGGUGAGUGGAACUCCCGGUGUAGUGGUGAAAUGCGUAGAGAUCGGGAAGAACACCUGUGGCGAAGGCGGCUCACUGGCCCGGUACUGACGCUGAGGUGCGAAAGCGUGGGGAGCAAACAGG